UGCGCCCAUAGAAUGCAAGUCGAACGGACUUAACUUUUUUGUUUACAAAAAAGAGCGGUUAGUGGCGGACUGGUGAGUAACACGUAAGCAAUCUGCCUAUCAGAGAGGAAUAACACUGAGAAAUCAGUGCUAAUACCACAUAUGCUGACACUAUCGCAUGAUAGAGUUAGGAAAGGAGAAAUCCGCUGAUAGAUGAGCUUGCGGCUGAUUAGCUAGUUGGUAAGGUAGAGGCUUACCAAGGCAACGAUCAGUACCCGGACUGAGAGGUUGAACGGGCACAUUGGGACUGAGAUACGGCCCAGACUCCUACGGGAGGCAGCAGUCGGGAAUAUUGCGCAAUGGAGGGAACUCUGACGCAGUGACGCCGCGUAUAGGAAGAAGGUUUUCGGAUUGUAAACUAUUUUAGUCAGGGAAGAAAAAAGACAGUACCUGAAGAAUAAGCCCCUGCAAACUACGUGCCAGCAGCCGCGGUAAUACGUAGGGGGCAAGCGUUAUCCGGAAUUAUUGGGUGUAAAGGGUGCGUAGACGGGUAAGCAAGUUAGUUGUGAAAUUCCAAGGCUCAACUUUGGAACUGCAACUAAAACUGUUUGUCUUGAGUAUCGGAGAGGAAAGUGGAAUUCCUAGUGUAGCGGUGAAAUGCAUAGAUAUUAGGAGGAACACCAGUGGCGAAGGCGACUUUCUGGACGAAAACUGACGUUGAGGCACGAAAGUGUGGGGAGCAAACAGGAUUAGAUACCCUGGUAGUCCACACUGUAAACGAUGGAUACUAGGUGUAGGAUGUGUUAAAACAUUCUGUGCCGUCGCAAACGCAGUAAGUAUCCCACCUGAGGAGUACGGCCGCCAGGUUGAAACUCAANGAAAUUGACGGGGACCCCNCACAAGCNGUGGAGUAUGUGGNUUUAAUUCGAAGCAACNCCGAAGAACCUUUACCCAGGGNCUUGACCAUGCCAAGGUGAAUACCCCAAGAAAAUUGUNGUAGCCUCUUCCGGAAGCNCUUNGUNCCNNGGUGGGUGNCCAUGGNUUGUUCCUNCACCUCCGUGNCCCCUGAAAAUUUUUGGG
rnacentral:rRNA from 1 species